UGGGUUAAGAGGUUGAUCACCUCGGGCAAAAGAGUAAAUCAUAACUCAUGGGUAAAGAUGUACAACCUCUGCAGAGUAUACUAGCCGAGCUCACGGUCAGGAGCGGCCUUGGGGACAUCUAUAUUAGGGGUGAUGAUUCUUGUGUGUUAAUAUGCUCAUUAUUUAUUGUUUUAUGCUCUAAAAUAUUUAUGUCACAUUGAUCAUGGGAUUGUGGGAUCUAUACAAUCUAGCUGCUAUACUUGUGGAGUUCGACAUGGACUCACUCUUGCUAUCUCCCCCACACCUCAGGAGAAGUUUUGGGCUUGUGAUCAACCUGUCAGUUUGGAUCCUGUAGAGUGAAGUUAAUACCCGAAGUUUGGAGUUGUCUAUCCACUGUUUGCUAUCAAAGAUUAUCUCUUUUAUACUAAGUACGUUAUAUAUUUAUGCAUUGUCUUUUGAUAUUAUCCUUUAUUUGUAGCUAUAUGUGAGGAUUGACUUCUAAGACUCACAUAUGGUGCAUAUAUGAUUUUGUUCUUAAAAUCAGGUAUUACAUUUUCCCUCCCUCCUCUUUGUGGAUCUGGAUCUAGGCCUUCCUCUGCUCCUCCUCCUCCUCUGGAACUAGAUCUAUGAGAUGUUGUGUUGGCUAGUGUUCCGGCGAGCUCUUGGGAUUCAGUGCUCUUGCAUGUUGUAAUGGUGUUCUCUAGUUGUUUGGAGUAAUGUUUUUCAGGUGAUGUUGCAGUAGAAUAGGGUUUUGACGAGCUCUUGGCUUCAGAUUUUGUCAUUGUUGCAAUGGUUCUCUCUAGACGUUGCAGUAGGUUUCAGUCGUUGUUGCAGUAUUGUGUUUUGGAGAUGUUGUUUCUGUUGCUUCAAUCUGCAUGUUGUAGUAGUUUGUUUCAAGUUGUUAUAACAGUUGUUUGGUGUUUUUGUAGUACUAUGUCCAUGGUGUUUCAGUUGCUCCAUCCAAUGCUUCAAUCUGCACUGUUGUAUUAGUUGUUGCAACAGUUGUUUGAUGUUGUUGUAAUACUAUGUCUAUGGUGUUUUGGUUGCUCCAUCCAAUGCUUCAAUCUAUGCUGUUGUAUUAGUUGUUACAUGUUGUUGCAACAAUCGUUCGUUGUUGUUGUAAUACUAUGUUCAUGGUGUUUUCAUUGUUCUAUCCAAUACUUCAAUCUGUAUGUUGUACUAGUUGUUUGCAUGUUGUUGCAGCAGUUGUUUGUUGUUUGUUGUAAUACUAUGUUUUAUGAUGUUUCAGCUACUUCAACUUGUUUGUUGUAGCAGUAUGUCAUGUGUUGUUGCACUAUCAUGCAUAUUGUAUUGCAACGCCAAGUAUGGAGGCAGACUAUAGGGACGAGUUAGCGGCAGGUAGAUCUAGUAGGGGCUGACAAGGCGAGGGGCGGGGCGGAUCCCAUGCUCGUGGGGGUGGGGCAUGGACUCCUUGCGCGGGGAACGGACGAAGGGCGGUCCUCCGUGCAGGCGAGUGGCGCAGGGGCGAGUUGGUUGGGUGGUCUUCUGUACGGGGCGAGUGGGGCAGGGGGGAGUUGGUUAGGGGUGGGUUGAGUUUCCUUUUCUUUUCUUUUUUUAUUUUUCUCUAUGGUGGCGCGGGUGGUGGGCUCGGCGUCCGGACGCGUUGCAGGCGCCGGACGUCCGGGCGCUAGCAGUUCCGCUUCUUUGACGAGUGUCAAACUCUUUGCUGAGUGUAUUCUAUCAGGCACUCAGUGAAGAUGACACUUGCCGAGUAGCUAAUUAAUUAGUUUACAGUUUUCUAUAUAUAAUAACUAAUUUUUGCAAAAUUUAAACAUCUAAAAAACAAUACAUAAGCAGACGUGUUCCACAAAAUUUAAACAUCUAUUCAUCGAUUUUAUAGAUUCAAUAUAUAUUGUUUAUUUUAUAUAAAAACAAUACAUAAGUUGAUGCUUGAAAAAGUAUGCAUGAGACCGUGACCAGAAGGAGAAGCUGAAUCGAGUCGCUAGAAACUAAACAUGAAAAUGUGAGUCACUAGAACCAUAAAAAUAUGGCUUCUUGUGGCUCAUACUCACAAAAUUGAUAACAAAACUUCCAUCGGAACCGUUUUAUCAAACGUUUACCAAAACACAUUUAUUAGCUCUACUACAGAAAAUGCUCGGCGAGAUGAGCUAGAGCCAGGACCUCUCUUAUAAGACGUGUGAGAGAGCUACCAACACUACUGG
rnacentral:lncRNA from 1 species